UUAAGACUUCCUUCGGGAAGUGCAUAAAGUGGCGCACGGGUGAGUAACACGUAAGUAAUCUACCUUCGAGUGGGGAAUAACAGUCGGAAACGACUGCUAAUACCGCAUAAUGCAGCGGCAUCGUAAGAUGACAGUUGUUAAAGGAGCAAUUCGCUUGAAGAGGAGCUUGCGGCAGAUUAGCUAGUUGGUAAGGUAAUGGCUUACCAAGGCAACGAUCUGUAACCGGUCUAAGAGGACGGUCGGUCACACUGACACUGAAUAACGGGUCAGACUCCUACGGGAGGCAGCAGUCGGGAAUUUUGGGCAAUGGGGGAAACCCUGACCCAGCAACGCCGCGUGAAGGAUGAAGUAUUUCGGUAUGUAAACUUCGAAAGAAUAGGAAGAAUUAAUGACGGUACUAUUUAUAAGGUCCGGCUAACUACGUGCCAGCAGCCGCGGUAAUACGUAGGGACCAAGCGUUGUUCGGAUUUACUGGGCGUAAAGGGCGCGUAGGCGGCAUGACAAGUCACUUGUGAAAUCUCCGGGCUUAACUCGGAACGGCCAAGUGAUACUGUCGCGCUAGAGUGCGGAAGGGGCAAUCAGAAUUCUUGGUGUAGCGGUGAAAUGCGUAGAUAUCAAGAGGAAUACCUGAGGUGAAGACGGGUUGCUAGGCCGACACUGACGCUGAGUGCGCGAAAGCCAGGGGAGCAAACGGGAUUAGAUACCCCGGUAGUCCUGGCCCUAAACGAUGAAUACUUGGUGUCUGGAGUUUUUAGUGCUCCGGGUGCCGUCGCUAACGUUUUAAGUAUUCCGCCUGGGGAGUA
rnacentral:rRNA from 1 species